CCCUUAGAUGUUCUGGGCCGCACGCGCGCUACACUGAUGCAUUCAACGAGUUUUUCCUGGUCCGAGAGGAAUGGGUAACCUUUUGAAAGUGCAUCGUGCUAGGGAUAGACUAUUGCAAUUAUGGGUCUUCAACGAGGAAUUCCUAGUAAACGCAAGUCAUCAGCUUGCAUUGAUUACGUCCCUGCCCUUUGUACACACCGCCCGUCGCACCUACCGAUUGAAUGGUCCGGUGAAAUCUCGGGACGGCGGCUUGGUCGCUUGCGUCCGACUGCUGAAACUUGAUUAAACCAUAUCAUUUAGAGGAAGGUGAAGUCGUAACA
rnacentral:rRNA from 1 species